GACGAACGCUGGCGGCGUGCCUAAUACAUGCAAGUAGAACGCUGGAGGAGGAGCUUGCUUCUCUGGAUGAUUUGCGAACGGGUGAGUAACGCGUAGGUAACCUGCCCGUUAGCGGCGGAGAACUAUUGGAAACGAUAGCUAAUACCCCAUAAGAGUAGAUGUCGCAUGUCAUUUGCUUAAAAGGUGCAAUUGUAUCACUACCAGAUGGACCUUCGUUGUCUUAGGUAGUUGGUGAUGUAACGGCUCAACAAGGCCACGAUACAGAACCGACCUGGUAGGGGGAUCCGCCAAACCUGGACCGGGGAACGGCCCCAAACCCUUCGGGGGGGAGCAGUAGGGAAUUUUUGGGAAUGGGCGGAAGUCUGACCGGGCAACGCCGGGUGAGUGGAGGAGGGUUUCGGAUCGUAAAACUCUGUUGUAAGGGAAGAACGAGUGUGAGAGUGGAAAGUGCACACUGUGACGGUAUCUAACCAGAAAGGCACGGCUAACUACGUG
rnacentral:rRNA from 1 species